rnacentral:rRNA from 1 species
GACGAACGCUGGCGGCGUGCCUAAUACAUGCAAGUAGAACGCUGAAGAGAGGAGCUUGCUCUUCUUGGAUGAGUUGCGAACGGGUGAGUAACGCGUAGGUAACCUGCCUUGUAGCGGGGGAUAACUAUUGGAAACGAUAGCUAAUACCGCAUAACAAUGGAUGACACAUGUCAUUUAUUUGAAAGGGGCAAUUGCUCCACUACAAGAUGGACCUGCGUUGUAUUAGCUAGUAGGUGAGGUAAUGGCUCACCUAGGCGACGAUACAUAGCCGACCUGAGAGGGUGAUCGGCCACACUGGGACUGAGACACGGCCCAGACUCCUACGGGAGGCAGCAGUAGGGAAUCUUCGGCAAUGGGGGCAACCCUGACCGAGCAACGCCGCGUGAGUGAAGGAGGUUUUCGGAUCGUAAAGCUCUGUUGUAAGUCAAGAACGGGUGUGAGAGUGGAAAGUUCACACUGUGACGGUAGCUUACCAGAAAGGGACGGCUAACUACGUGCCAGCAGCCGCGGUAAUACGUAGGUCCCGAGCGUUGUCCGGAUUUAUUGGGCGUAAAGCGAGCGCAGGCGGUUUGAUAAGUCUGAAGUUAAAGGCUGUGGCUCAACCAUAGUUCGCUUUGGAAACUGUCAAACUUGAGUGCAGAAGGGGAGAGUGGAAUUCCAUGUGUAGCGGUGAAAUGCGUAGAUAUAUGGAGGAACACCGGUGGCGAAAGCGGCUCUCUGGUCUGUAACUGACGCUGAGGCUCGAAAGCGUGGGGAGCGAACAGGAUUAGAUACCCUGGUAGUCCACGCCGUAAACGAUGAGUGCUAGGUGUUGGAUCCUUUCCGGGAUUCAGUGCCGCAGCUAACGCAUUAAGCACUCCGCCUGGGGAGUACGACCGCAAGGUUGAAACUCAAAGGAAUUGACGGGGGCCCGCACAAGCGGUGGAGCAUGUGGUUUAAUUCGAAGCAACGCGAAGAACCUUACCAGGUCUUGACAUCCCGAUGCUAUUUCUAGAGAUAGAAAGUUACUUCGGUACAUCGGUGACAGGUGGUGCAUGGUCGUCGUCAGCUCGUGUCGUGAGAUGUUGGGUUAAGUCCCGCAACGAGCGCAACCCCUAUUGUUAGUUGCCAUCAUUCAGUUGGGCACUCUAGCGAGACUGCCGGUAAUAAACCGGAGGAAGGUGGGGAUGACGUCAAAUCAUCAUGCCCCUUAUGACCUGGGCUACACACGUGCUACAAUGGUUGGUACAACGAGUUGCGAGUCGGUGACGGCGAGCUAAUCUCUUAAAGCCAAUCUCAGUUCGGAUUGUAGGCUGCAACUCGCCUACAUGAAGUCGGAAUCGCUAGUAAUCGCGGAUCAGCACGCCGCGGUGAAUACGUUCCCGGGCCU